rnacentral:rRNA from 1 species
UGGCGGACGGGUGAGUAAUGUCUGGGAAACUGCCUGAUGGAGGGGGAUAACUACUGGAAACGGUAGCUAUACCGCAUAACGUCGCAAGACCAAAGAGGGGGACCUUCGGGCCUCUUGCCAUCGGAUGUGCCCAGAUGGGAUUAGCUAGUAGGCGGGGUAACGGCUCACCUAGGCGACGAUCCCUAGCUGGUCUGAGAGGAUGACCAGCCACACUGGAACUGAGACACGGUCCAG